UCCAAUCUCGCUUCAACGUUCUUCCAACCUUGUUGUGCUUAAUAAACUUCUCUGUUUCCAGGAGCCUUCUUCUGUUUCGUACAAACAGACGGCUUCUCACGCUGGAACCCUUCAAGUAUCCUUCAAACUUUCACCAUGUGAGUUUUUUUCACAUCGCCUUUGUGAACUUCCGUCAUGUCUUCAUCCGGUUGUUCUUCCAACCUUCUUCCACUCACUUUCUUCUAAGUGAACAUUCUAAUUUUUCCUUUUGGUGUCCUUUUGAUCACCAAAUCUGGGCGUGAACCCUUUCACCAAAUCUGUGCGUGAACUCAGUCACGUCUCUUCUUCGGUUAUCUUCUCCACGUCUCUGUGACGUCUCUUCUUUGGUUAUCUUCUCCACGUCUUCUUCGAACAAGUUUCAGAAUUCUCCUUCCACAACUCUAAUUCACCAUCUCUUUCCAUUUCCUUUUGAGAAGAUCUCACAUCUCCUUCAUCCCUUUGGAGCCUUCUUCUUGAAGGCUCCAAGACCAACAUAAGCUCUGAUACCAUGUUAGAAGCAAAAGCUUCUCUCUCACAAAGAGCAAAACAAGCGUACUUGUUGCUCUGUUUUAUAGAAGAUAAAACAGAGUAUUUGAGAAACUUGUGAUUGUAUUAAUAAACUGAAAAACUUGUAUGUUUACAUCAUAGUUUCGAUGCUUAAAUAGAUAAAACAACAGACGCAAAUAAGAGUUCCAUCUCUUCUACUUGUGACGUUUAGACAA